AUCAAGAACUCUUGAUUCUUCCUCUGAGCUUUUGAGCAUGUUCAUUAUCCUAAUUUUUCUUUUUGGGAAAUUCUAGAAGGAAAUAUUAAAUGCCUUUUUUUUUUUUCCUGUUUGAAGGUAUGCAAGUCUAGGACAUGGCAUUUAGGAAAGACAUCAGAUAUACUGAGAGAGCUACAUGAGGGUGCAGGUUUGCUCCAUCACAUGAGAGAUGUCUGGGAUCCAAGACCUUUGCUCACAGCUCUGUUGCACUGUUUUUCUUCUGAGGUGCUGACCAUCAUCUCAGCAGCUAAGAGUUGCACCUGUUUUCAUGGCAACAAGGUUAUGCUAAAGUGUAUCUUUAAAAAGAAACUAAGUACAUCCAGCACAUUCAAGUAGAAGAGUACUUGCUUCACUGGAAAAUAAAUGCUGCUGCAGGAAAGUUUGCCUAUUUGUC
rnacentral:lncRNA from 1 species